GAGUUUGAUCGUGGCUCAGAACGAACGCUGGCGGCAUGCCUAACACAUGCAAGUCGAACGAAGUCUUCGGACUUAGUGGCGCACGGGUGCGUAACGCGUGGGAAUCUGCCCUUAGGUACGGAAUAACUCGGGGAAACUCGUGCUAAUACCGUAUGAUGUCUUCGGACCAAAGAUUUAUCGCCUGAGGAUGAGCCCGCGUUGGAUUAGCUAGUUGGUGGGGUAAAGGCCCACCAAGGCGACGAUCCAUAGCUGGUCUGAGAGGAUGAUCAGCCACACUGGGACUGAGACACGGCCCAGACUCCUACGGGAGGCAGCAGUGGGGAAUAUUGGACAAUGGGGGAAACCCUGAUCCAGCAAUGCCGCGUGAGUGAUGAAGGCCUUAGGGUUGUAAAGCUCUUUUACCCGGGAAGAUAAUGACUGUACCGGGAGAAUAAGCCCCGGCUAACUCCGUGCCAGCCGCCGCCGU
rnacentral:rRNA from 1 species